rnacentral:rRNA from 1 species
GAUGAACGCUGGCGGCGUGCCUAAUACAUGCAAGUCGAGCGAACGGACGAGAAACUUGCUUCUCUGAUGUUAGCGGCGGACGGGUGAGUAACACGUGGAUAACCUACCUAUAAGACUGGGAUAACUUCGGGAAACCGGAGCUAAUACCGGAUAAUAUUUUGAACCGCAUGGUUCAAAAGUGAAAGACGGUCUUGCUGUCACUUAUAGAUGGAUCCGCGCUGCAUUAGCUAGUUGGUAAGGUAACGGCUUACCAAGGCAACGAUGCAUAGCCGACCUGAGAGGGUGAUCGGCCACACUGGAACUGAGACACGGUCCAGACUCCUACGGGAGGCAGCAGUAGGGAAUCUUCCGCAAUGGGCGAAAGCCUGACGGAGCAACGCCGCGUGAGUGAUGAAGGUCUUCGGAUCGUAAAACUCUGUUAUUAGGGAGGAACAUAUGUGUAAGUAACUGUGCACAUCUUGACGGUACCUAAUCAGAAAGCCACGGCUAACUACGUG